rnacentral:rRNA from 1 species
UGAGACCUGAUGCCGAGCCGAUUGUGGUGAAGUGGAUGAUCCUAUGCUGUCGAGAAAAGCCUCUAGCGAGUUUCAUGGCGGCCCGUACCCUAAACCGACUCAGGUGGUCAGGUAGAGAAUACCGAGGCGUUCGGGUGAACUAUGGUUAAGGAACUCGGCAAAAUGCCCCCGUAACUUCGGGAGAAGGGGGGCCACACCUGGUGAAGAGCUUCGCGCUCUGAGCUGGGGGUGGCCGCAGAGACCAGCGAGAAGCGACUGUUUACUAAAAACACAGGUCCGUGCGAAGCCGUAAGGCGAUGUAUACGGACUGACGCCUGCCCGGUGCUGGAACGUUAAGGGGACCGGUUAGUCACAUUUCGGUGUGGCGAAGCUGAGAACUUAAGCGCCAGUAAACGGCGGUGGUAACUAUAACCAUCCUAAGGUAGCGAAAUUCCUUGUCGGGUAAGUUCCGACCUGCACGAAUGGCGUAACGACUUCUCGACUGUCUCAACCAUAGGCCCGGUGAAAUUGCACUACGAGUAAAGAUGCUCGUUUCGCGCAGCAGGACGGAAAGACCCCGGGACCUUUACUACAGUUUGAUAUUGGUGUUCGGUUCGGCUUGUGUAGGAUAGCUGGGAGACUGUGAAGCAUUAACGCCAGUUAGUGUGGAGUCGUCGUUGAAAUACCAGUCUGGUCGUGCUGGAUGUCUAACCUGGGUCCGUGAUCCGGAUCAGGGACAGUGUCUGAUGGGUAGUUUAACUGGGGCGGUUGCCUCCUAAAGAGUAACGGAGGCGCCCAAAGGUUCCCUCAGCCUGGUUGGUAAUCAGGUGUUGAGUGUAAGUGCACAAGGGAGCUUGACUGUGAGACCGACGGGUCGAGCAGGGACGAAAGUCGGGACUAGUGAUCCGGCGGUGGCUUGUGGAAGCGCCGUCGCUCAACGGAUAAAAGGUACCCCGGGGAUAACAGGCUGAUCUUCCCCAAGAGUCCAUAUCGACGGGAUGGUUUGGCACCUCGAUGUCGGCUCGUCGCAUCCUGGGGCUGGAGUCGGUCCCAAGGGUUGGGCUGUUCGCCCAUUAAAGCGGUACGCGAGCUGGGUUUAGAACGUCGUGAGACAGUUCGGUCCCUAUCCGCUGUGCGCGUAGGAGUCUUGAGAAGGGCUGUCCCUAGUACGAGAGGACCGGGACGGACGAACCUCUGGUGUGCCAGUUGUUCUGCCAAGGGCAUGGCUGGUUGGCUACGUUCGGGAGGGAUAACCGCUGAAAGCAUCUAAGCGGGAAGCCUGCUUCGAGAUGAGGACUCCCACCCACUUGAUGGGGUAAGGCUCCCAGUAGACGACUGGGUUGAUAGGCCGGAUCUGGAAGCCAGGUAACUGGUGGAGGUGACCGGUACUAAUAGGCCGAGGGCUUGUCCUC